rnacentral:lncRNA from 1 species
UUACUAUAAUUUGGGCAUUCCUUUUAUAUGAAUUUUCAACUAAUAUUUCUUUCCUGCUGACAAUCUCACUUAACAACGAUAUCGAAUUAUUUUCAUCAAAAGAAAAAAACUAUAUCAAAUUAUAAAAUAACAUGAAUCAUGUUUAUCUCCAGCUGUUAACAAGUGUUUCAGAUGAAGCAUGGAGCCAUGGACAUGGUCAUAGCUGCCUGCUGGAAUGAACGUCAAUUGUAGACCCACUGGGUGUUGUCAUGUGUUGCAAUUCUCUCCACAAACUUUCAUUUGAAUUUCUAGUUAUUUACCCGUUUAAGCUUCUUUUCUGCAGAUAUGCAUGUUUAAAUGUAUCAUUGAAUCAGUAUGGUUUCUUCUUCAGAAAAUGUGAUGAGGCACAGAGCUUUCUACUGCACCAUCUCCCCAAAGGACAGCACUCAGAAGUAGGAGUGGAACUGCAGUUACCGCAUGAUGGCAUACUGGAUUCCCCACAGCACAUUUAUUGAUCAUAAGGAUUUCAGGAUUGUUAAUGCUGUUGGAUCUUAAUGUAGCCUCAAGUGCUGGAGAUCGUCACAGUUUUAUAUCCAAGGGGAAAAUAGAUACAGCAGUGCUGGGCAAGAUCCUACACAUGAUACUACUGUUCAGUGACUUACAUUUUUUUCUUUAUGCUUCUGCCUUUGUUUUUACUGCACUUUAUGUAAA